UAAGACGAACCACACAAACGUUAUUCGGAAUUACUGGGCUUAAAGGGUGCGUAGGCGGCGCGGAAAGUAGGGUGUGAAAUCCCUCGGCUCAACCGAGGAAUUGCGCCCUAAACUACCGUGCUCGAGGGAGAUAGAGGUGAGCGGAACUUAGGGUGGAGCGGUGAAAUGCGUUGAUAUCCUAAGGAACACCGGUGGCGAAAGCGGCUCACUGGAUCUCUUCUGACGCUGAGGCACGAAAGCUAGGGUAGCGAACGGGAUUAGAUACCCCGGUAGUCCUAGCCGUAAACGAUGAGCACUGGAUUGGAGGCUCCUCCAUAGGCUUCCAGUCGCAGCGAAAGUGUUAAGUGCUCCGCCUGGGGAGUAUGGUCGCAAGGCUG
rnacentral:rRNA from 1 species